UUAUAAGCGUACUACCCCACUCUGUGGCUCGUGCGUCACACAUAACAGAGGUUAAAAAAUGUUAUCCGUAACCACAACUGCAUUUGUUUCCAAGGUUCCGAUUGCUUUUCCUUCUCUUCCACCACCAAAUCCAAAUGUAAGUACGUGCGGAAUAAACAAUGAUGGGCAAAUUGGUCUUCAAAGAGUCACUGCGUCUAAAACUAAUAGUCUCAGACUCAGACUAGUCACUAACUCGGUUUCUGGGGAUAGCAGUGCCUCAGUUGACGUUGAUGUGCCAUUCCCUAGUGAUUAUUUUGAGCUUCUUCAACAAGCCAGAAAAGCAACUGAAUUGGCUUUAAAGGAUAACAGACAGUUGAUGGAGAUUGAAUUUCCAACUGCCGGACUUGAAUCUGUACCAGGUGAUGGGGAAGGAGGAAUAGAAAUGACUGGAAGUAUGCAAUUGAUUCGUGAAUUUUGUGACAGCUUCAUAAAUCCAGAGAAAGCCACACGCACCAGAAUCUUCUUCCCAGAGGCCAGUGAAGUUCAAUUUGCAAGACAAUCAGCCUUUGGAGGAGCCUCCUUUAAGUUGGACUAUUUGACGAAGCCAUCAUUUUUUGAGGAUUUUGGUUUUUCCGAAAAGGUGAAAAUGGCAGAUCGAGUGAAGCCAGAGGAUGAACUGUUCUUGGUUGCCUAUCCAUAUUUCAAUGUCAAUGAAAUGCUUGUGGUAGAAGAGCUGUACAAAGAAGCUGUUGAGAACACAGCCAGAAAACUGAUUAUUUUUAAUGGAGAACUUGACCGUAUAAGAUCUGGAUAUUAUCCAUCUUUCUUCUACCCGAAGCUGGCCAAACUUUCCAAGACCCUCCUGCCUAUGAUGGAGACUGUAUAUUACAUUCACAAUUUCAAGGGACGCAAUGGAGGAAUCCUUUUCAGGUGCUACCCUGGUCCCUGGAAGGUCCUAAGAAAAGUGGGGAGUAAAUAUAUAUGUCUACAUCAGCAGGAAGUUAUGCCAUCCCUCAAGGAAGUUGCCUUGGAUAUUCUAAUCUCAGCUUGAGACGUCUGUUUUUUGAACUCAGCAAGUCUUUUCAAUUAAUAUCUAGUUAUUGAGACAAAAGCUAAGAUAUGGGGGCACAGAGUGCUCGGACUACUUGUACAGGGUGUUUUCCAAGAGGAUCAAAUCACCUUCCAGCUACAUCAUUCUUCUGUGUAUUAUUUAUGAGAAAGCAUGGGCAGAAAAUCUAGGAGAACAGAAGCUGAUUACUAAAUGAGGCUUGUGUCUUUCUUGGUUUUGCCCAUGCUCAAAAGGAUUCAUAUGUCUCAAUCCAUCUAUCAAUUGUUAACUCAUGCAGUGGCUAAAGGCUUUCGUCAAACUCAAACGUCACCUUGAUGGAAACAGAGGUCGAUACAAAGCCAGAUUGGUGGCUAAAGGCUUUCAUCAACAACAAGACCUUGAUUUGGAUGAGAGUCAUGACUCAUGAGACCUUUAGUCUUGUAAUUAAACGUACCACAAUUUGGUUCAUUCUCUCUAUUGUAUUCCAAUUCAAAUGGUCUCUUCACCAAUUAGAUGUCAAGAAUGCUUUCUUACAAUGCAUUCUAAAGGAAGAAGUCUGUGACACAACUCACUGGUUUUGUGGAUUCUACUCACCCAUAUCAAGUUUUUUCGAUUGCACAA